rnacentral:rRNA from 1 species
GUCGAGAAUCUUUCACAAUGGGGGCAACCCUGAUGGAGCGACGCCGCGUGGAGGAUAAGGUCUUCGGAUUGUAAACUCCUGUCAUGCGUGAACAAGGUUGCUUGGUUAAUACCUGGGCAAAUUGAUGGUAACGCAAGAGGAAGAGACGGCUAACUCUGUGCCAGCAGCCGCGGUAAUACAGAGGUCUCAAGCGUUGUUCGGAAUCACUGGGCGUAAAGGGUGCGUAGUUGGCGUGGUAAGUCAGAUGUGAAAGCCCGGGGCUCAACCUCGGAACUGCAUCCGAUACUGCCAUGCUAGAGUACUGGAGAGGUGACUAGAAUUCUCGGUGUAGCAGUGAAAUGCGUAGAUAUCGAGAGGAAUACCAAAGGCGUAGGCAGGUCACUGGACAGUUACUGACACUGAGGCACGAAGGCCAGGGGAGCGAACGGGAUUAGAAACCCCGGUAGUCC